rnacentral:rRNA from 1 species
GACGAACGCUGGCGGCGUGCUUAACACAUGCAAGUCGAACGGAGUGGCGAACGGGUGAGUAACACGUGGGUGACACGCCCUGCAAUUCGGGAUAAGCCUGGGAAACUGGGUAUAAUACCGGAUAGUGUGGGAUGGGCCCGCGGCCUAUGGGCUUGUUGGUGGGGUAAUGGCCUCUGAAGGCUGCGACGGGUACCCGGCCUGAGAGGGUGGACGGCCUCCAGGGGACUACGGGACGGACCAGUGUGCUAUAGUGGGCAGCGGGUGGGAGUAUUGCCCAGUCGGCGGACGCCUGUUGAGACGGCCCCCCGUGGGUAAUGACGGUUUUCGGGUUAUAAACUCCUUUCACCUACGACGCGGUACAUGGAGAAGAAGCACCGGCUAACUCCGUGCCAGCAGCCGCGGUAAUAC